rnacentral:tRNA from 26 species
GCGGAAGUAGUUCAGCGGUAGAACACCACCUUGCCAAGGUGGGGGUCGCGGGUUCGAGUCCCGUCUUCCGCUCCA